rnacentral:rRNA from 1 species
GGGGAGUACGGCCGCAAGGUUAAAACUCAAGGGGAAUGACGGGGGCCCGCACAAGCGGUGGAGUAUGUGGUUUAAUUCGAUGCAACGCGAAGAACCUUACCUGGUCUUGACAUCCCGGGAAUUUUCUGGAAACAGAAAAGUGCUUCUUUAUAGAAGAGCCUGGAGACAGGUGCUGCAUGGCUGUCGUCAGCUCGUGUCGUGAGAUGUUGGGUUAAGUCCCGUAACGAGCGCAACCCACGCCUUUAGUUGCCAUCAUUUAGUUGGGCACUCUAGAGGGCAGCCCCGGUUAACGGGGAGGAAGGUGUGGAUGACGUCAAGUCCUCAUGGCCCUUAUGGCCAGGGCUACACACGUACUACAAUGGGCGGUACAAAGGGCAGCUACAUCGCGAGGUGGAGCCGAUCCCCCAAAACCGUUCUCAGUCCGGAUCGGAGUCUGCAACNNNNNNNCCGUGAAGUUGGAAUCGCUAGUAAUCGUGGAUCAGCAAGCCACGGUGAAUACGUUCCCGCUCCUUGUACACACCGCCCGUCUCAC